GACGGAGGGUGCUAGCGUUGUUCGGAAUGACUGGGCGUAAAGGGCGCGUAGGCGGCUUGGUUAGUCGGGUGUGAAAGCCCGGGGCUCAACCCCGGAACGGCAUCCGAUACUGCCUGGCUCGAGACCGGGAGAGGAGGGUGGAAUAUCCAGUGUAGAGGUGAAAUUCGUAGAUAUUGGAUGGAACACCAGUGGCGAAAGCGGCUCUCUGGCCCGGAUCUGACGCUGAGGCGCGAAAGCGUGGGGAGCAAACAGG
rnacentral:rRNA from 1 species